rnacentral:rRNA from 1 species
AUUGAACGCUGGCGGCAGGCCUAACACAUGCAAGUCGAACGAGCGGCGGACGGGUGAGUAAUGUCUGGGUAACUGCCCGAUGGAGGGGGAUAACUACUGGAAACGGUAGCUAAUACCGCAUACUAUCGGAUGUGCCCAUAUGGGAUUAGCUAGUAGGUGGGGUAACGGCUCACCUAGGCGACGAUCCCUAGCUGGUCUGAGAGGAUGAUCAGCCACACUGGGACUGAGACACGGCCCAGACUCCUACGGGAGGCAGCAGUGGGGAAUAUUGCACAAUGGGCGCAAGCCUGAUGCAGCCAUGCCGCGUGUAUGAAGAAGGCCUUCGGGUUGUAAAGUACUUUCAGCGGGGAGGCGUUACCCGCAGAAGAAGCACCGGCUAACUCCGUGCCAGCAGCCGCGGUAAUUC